UAUAAAAUAAGAAUAACGAUCUAACAUAUGCAUAUGUACAUUUUAUAAUAAUGACUGAAAUGUAGCUGACAUAUCGGCUGAUAUAAACUCGACAGAGGAAAAUAUUCGUUGCAUAAUGUUUCUAAUGCACUUGCCAAGCGGCGCUAAGAUAACAAAAUAAUGACGAUAAUUGCAAUACUGCGCAGUAGAAUAAUAUUGGCUUUAUAAAGAGGGAGAACAUUUACGUAAAAAGAAAUUUUACGUAAUGUUAUAAUACUACUCUAUCAUUUGAGUUAGUCAAUGGAUGAUCAGUGUUGGAGUUAGGAAACAGUCAAGCUUUUCGAAGCCCAACCUGUUGCUCCUGUAUGUUGUUGUCUCUACUGACAUAGAUUUAUUUUCUAUUGUUAGAGUAUAGUUUAAACAACAUUCUCAAAUAAAAUCCAUGCAUAAAUAUUUAAAGAAAAUUUUCUAUUCGUAUAAAAAAAUUCAUUUGUUCAUAAGAAAACUUUUUUAUAUAUGAAGAAACGCGGACUAUACCGUUUCACUAUCUUAUGUGCGGAUAUAAAGAAAAGUUCACUUCGUGAUUUUAUACUCUUUGGCUUCGACGAAGGUACAAGGCUGGCUUCCAAAAUGGGUAUCUUACCUAAACUUUGAAUACUCGAUUGCACAGUUCCCGACAUCCUAAUUAAUUUCUAAGGUAUCCUAAAGUUAUCCGAAAGAAAACUGAACGAUUAAUCUUAUAUGUAACAAUUUUACUGUACAAUGGAGUAUCGUAUUAAUAUCUAUAUUUUUUUUGUACAAUUUUGUUGCGAUGUUAUUUAAUUAAAUCUCAAAAAUCAUUAUCAAUA